GCCUCAUGUAUCAAUCUUGCGUACGCACGAAAACACGGCGUACGCCAGCUUUCACGUUCACGGUCAGAUGUACUAACAGUGAAAUUAACGUAAGAAUGUGCGUUCUUCCACGUAAACUUCAGGCCUGGCGUACGUACAUUUUUGUGAUGUCUGUCCGUUGGCGACUCAUAGAGGCAAUAAAGUGAAGUGGCAAACAUUACACUACGAACUGUUCUAUCGCACCUGCCAGAUAUUGCUUAUAAUUUGUAAUUGAUAAAUGAUUUGCCAUAUUAUUGUCACACGAGUCUUAUUAGAAUAUUCUAUUAAUUAUGCAAUUAAGUAAGAACAUAUAUAAAGGAUGUGAAAAUUGAUACAACCCGUCUAGCAAUGGCAGCUUUGGCUUUAUUAGAAGACAUUUUCAAUGGACAAAUCCGGAGAGAACGAGUUUUUAGGGACCACGGUGAUUUUCUGGCCCACGACGAUGACUGGCUCAUCAGCCGUUUCAGAUUUCCAAGGGCUAUACUCUUGGAGCUCUGCGCUGAGUUGGGUCCGAAUUUGGAAAGAGAGACAGUGAGGAGCCACGCAUUACCCGUUCCUUUACAGGUGCUUACUACACUUGGUUUCCUAGCAACCGGUUCUUUCCAAAGAGAACUGGCAGACCGCUCAGGAAUAAGCCAGUCGUGUUUGAGCCGUGCAAUGCCACCUGUAUGGGACGGCAUCAUCCGCUUGUCUACCAGGUAUAUAACGUUCCCAUACGAUGCAGGUGACCAGCCAAACAUCAAAGCGCAAUUUGCAGCGAUAGCCGGUUUUCCUAAUGUAAUCGGAGUGAUCGACUGCACACAUAUUGCUAUAAAGGCGCCAUCUGAAGACGAUUUUGCAUAUGUGAAUCGGAAACAUUUCCAUUCAAUAAAUGUGCAGAUUAUAUGUGAUGCACAAAUGCGCCUAACAAAUAUUGUGGCAAGGUGGCCUGGGUCAACCCAUGAUUCAUAUAUCCUUACAAACAGCAUGGUUGGGAUGAGACUCCAAGCUGGCAGGGUGCGCGAUGGGUGGCUACUUGGAGACAGUGGUUAUCCACUAAAGACGUGGCUGUUAACCCCCCUCACCAACCCACAAACUGACCGAGAGCGCAGA